GAUGAACGCUGGCGGCGUGCUUAACACAUGCAAGUCGAACGGGAAUUAUUUUAUUGAAACUUCGGUCGAUUUAAUUUAAUUCUAGUGGCGGACGGGUGAGUAACGCGUGGGUAACCUGCCUUAUACAGGGGGAUAACAGUCAGAAAUGGCUGCUAAUACCGCAUAAGCGCACAGAGCUGCAUGGCUCAGUGUGAAAAACUCCGGUGGUAUAAGAUGGACCCGCGUUGGAUUAGCUGGUUGGUGGGGUAACGGCCCACCAAGGCGACGAUCCAUAGCCGGCCUGAGAGGGUGAACGGCCACAUUGGGACUGAGACACGGCCCAGACUCCUACGGGAGGCAGCAGUGGGGAAUAUUGCACAAUGGGGGAAACCCUGAUGCAGUGACGCCGCGUGAAGGAAGAAGUAUCUCGGUAUGUAAACUUCUAUCAGCAGGGAAGAUAGUGACGGUACCUGACUAAGAAGCCCCGGCUAACUACGUG
rnacentral:rRNA from 1 species